rnacentral:lncRNA from 1 species
GCAUAGAUCCAAUGCCUGAAGCUGGAUUCCUCUCCGGGACUGAAAAAGAAUGCUGAUAAUUACCCACUCCUUGCGCCAACUUUGGACUAGUAGUUACCUGAUUCAAAUGGCCAACCCUUCCGGUAUCUUUGCCAAUAGGUGCAAUCUUCGGACUUGAGAGGUGUGCAGGAAGAAUAGAGGCCAGGCCCAUAAGAUUACCAUUUACAGGGCUGAGAUUCCUUCCGGUAUCUUUACCGAUAGGUGCAAUCUUCGGACUUGAGAGGUGUACAGGAAGAAUAGAGGCCAGCCCUGUCAUAAGAUUACCAUUUACAGGGCUGAGAUUUCUCAGACCAGGUGAUUGACUAUAACCUCGCAAAGGGUUGGGUUCGACAGGACUGCCG